rnacentral:rRNA from 1 species
UGCGGACUGAUCAUUA